UGUGGGAGCGUGUGGACAGUAUCGAUCGUAUUGCGCAGAGAUUUGUUCGCUUCGCUCGCACAGA
rnacentral:pre_miRNA from 1 species